GGGCCUUUCCUGCACAGCUUAGGUGGAAGGCAAAGAAGGCCCCCUUCCGGGGGGGCCCGAGCCAUCAGUCAGAUACCACUCUGGAAGAGCUC
rfam:Triticum aestivum genome assembly, contig: Triticum_aestivum_CS42_TGACv1_scaffold_642103_T_7DL-0.192874_7DS-0.140376